rnacentral:lncRNA from 1 species
AACUAAAUCUAUAGCUGUCACUCUAUGAUCUGACUUCAUGUUCCUAUAAAAUACGUACUAAUUUGUUGACCUAGUAAAUCAAAAGAAAUUAGAAAGUAAGAUACACUAAUUUUUAACUAGUGUGACUGAACAUAUGCUCUAUUUGAUACCUCAUCAAAAAUCACACAACCUUGAAGUCAAAACUAUAUCGAUUAAUGUUAAGUAUGUUAAAGAAUAUGAUUUCCAUAAAUCAUAUCAUCAACUACACUGAUUUUAUUUUAGAUAACUUUUAUUAGAUUUGAAUUUGACAAAAAAUGUGAUUUUGUAGAUCAAGUCAAAGAUUACACAGAUUUAAAAUCCUAAAUUCCUAAAAGCCCAAUUUGAUUUUCAAGAAUCGUCAAAUGGCUAUCUUUGACUCUUAGACAUUUAAGUAAUUCAUUCCUAUAGAUCUU